rnacentral:rRNA from 1 species
UACAGAGGUCUCAAGCGUUGUUCGGAUUCAUUGGGCGUAAAGGGUGCGUAGGUGGCGAGGUUAGUCAGGUGUGAAAUUUCGGAGCUUAACUCCGAAACUGCAUUUGAUACUGCGGUGCUUGAGGACUGGAGAGGAGACUGGAAUUCACGGUGUAGCAGUGAAAUGCGUAGAGAUCGUAAGGAAGACCAGUGGCGAAGGCGGGUCUCUGGACAGUUCCUGACACUGAGGCACGAAGGCCAGGGGAGCAAACGGG